GAUGAACGCUGGCGGCGUGCCUAAUACAUGCAAGUCGAGCGAACGGACGAGAAGCUUUCUUCUCUGAUGUUAGCGGCGGACGGGGGAGUAACACGUGGAUAACCUACCUAUAAGACUGGGAUAACUUCGGGAAACCGGAGCUAAUACCGGAGAAUAGUUUGAACCGCAUGGUUCAAAAGUGAAAGACGGUCUUGCUGUCACUUAUAGAUGGAUCCGCGCUGCAUUAGCUAGUUGGUAAGGUAACGGCUUACCAAGGCAACGAUGCAUAGCCGACCUGAGAGGGUGAUCGGCCACACUGGAACUGAGACACGGUCCAGACUCCUACGGGAGGCAGCAGUAGGGAAUCUUCCGCAAUGGGCGAAAGCCUGACGGAGCAACGCCGCGUGAGUGAUGAAGGUCUUCGGAUCGUAAAACUCUGUUAUUAGGGAAGAACAUAUGUGUAAGUAACUGUGCACAUCUUGACGGUACCUAAUCAGAAAGCCACGGCUAACUACGUG
rnacentral:rRNA from 1 species